AGAGUUUGAUCAUGGCUCAGGAUGAACGCUGGCGGCGUGCCUAACACAUGCAAGUCGAGCGAUUACUUCGGUAAAGAGCGGCGGACGGGUGAGUAACGCGUGGGUAACCUGCCUCAUACACAUGGAUAACAUACCGAAAGGUAUGCUAAUACAGGAUAAUAUAAGAGAUUCACAUGGAUUUCUUAUCAAAGCUCCGGCGGUAUGAGAUGGACCCGCGUCUGAUUAGCUAGUUGGUAAGGUAAUGGCUUACCAAGGCGACGAUCAGUAGCCGACCUGAGAGGGUGAUCGGCCACAUUGGAACUGAGACACGGUCCAAACUCCUACGGGAGGCAGCAGUGGGGAAUAUUGCACAAUGGGCGAAAGCCUGAUGCCAGCAACGCCGCGUGAGUGAUGAAGGCCUUCGGGUCGUAAAACUCUGUCCUCAAGGAAGGUAAUGACGGUACUUGAGGAGGAAGCCCCGGCUAACUACGUGCCAGCAGCAGC
rnacentral:rRNA from 1 species